rnacentral:lncRNA from 1 species
AAAAAAAAUACGACGACAGUCCACACAUACCCAACACAGAAAACUAAGAGUGAGCAACACAAACCCCACAAAAAACUAAAGACUGGACAUCACUAACCCUACAAAAACUAAAGAUUGUGCAACACGAAACCCACAAAAAACUAGACUGUGCAACACGAACCCCACAAAAACAUAAGACUGCAACACGAAUCCCACAAAAAACUAAAGAUUGAUCAACACGAGCCCCACAAAAAACUAGACUGCAACAAGAACCACACAAAAAAAACUAAAGACUGUGCAACACACACCCGUACCAAAGACUAAUGACUCCCCAAAAAAAUGUGUUCCAACUAUCGAAAAUAACAACAGAUAAUGCA